rnacentral:rRNA from 1 species
AACGAACGCUGGCGGCAGGCCUAACACAUGCAAGUCGAGCGCCCCGCAAGGGGAGCGGCAGACGGGUGAGUAACGCGUGGGAAUCUACCCAUCCCUACGGAACAACUCAGGGAAACUUGAGCUAAUACCGUAUACGCCCUCCGGGGGAAAGAUUUAUCGGGGAUGGAUGAGCCCGCGUUGGAUUAGCUAGUUGGUGAGGUAAUGGCUCACCAAGGCGACGAUCCAUAGCUGGUCUGAGAGGAUGAUCAGCCACACUGGGACUGAGACACGGCCCAGACUCCUACGGGAGGCAGCAGUGGGGAAUAUUGGACAAUGGGCGAAAGCCUGAUCCAGCCACGCCGCGUGAGUGAUGACGGCCCUAGGGUUGUAAAGCUCUUUCAACGGUGAAGAUAAUGACGGUAACCGUAGAAGAAGCCCCGGCUAACUUCGUGCCAGCAGCCGCGGUAACAC